rnacentral:rRNA from 1 species
GCUGACCUCGGAUCAGGUAGGGAUACC